rnacentral:rRNA from 1 species
GACGAACGCUGGCGGCGCGCCUAACACAUGCAAGUCGAGCGAACCCUUCGGGGUGAGCGGCGGACGGGUGAGUAACGCGUGGGUAACCUGCCCUAUACACACGGAUAACGUACCGAAAGGUACGCUAAUACGGGAUAAUAUUGUUGGAUGGCAUCUUCUAACAAUCAAAGCUCCGGCGGUAUAGGAUGGACCCGCGUCUGAUUAGCUAGUUGGUGAGGUAAUGGCUCACCAAGGCGACGAUCAGUAGCCGACCUGAGAGGGUGAUCGGCCACACUGGAACUGAGACACGGUCCAGACUCCUACGGGAGGCAGCAGUGGGGAAUAUUGCACAAUGGGCGAAAGCCUGAUGCAGCAACGCCGCGUGAGCGAUGAAGGUCUUCGGAUCGUAAAGCUCUGUCCUCAAGGAAGAUAAUGACGGUACUUGAGGAGGAAGCCCCGGCUAACUACGUGCCAGCCGCCGCCGUAA